rnacentral:rRNA from 1 species
ACUCCUACGGGAGGCAGCAGUGGGGAAUUUUGGACAAUGGGGGCAACCCUGAUCCAGCAAUGCCGCGUGAGUGAAGAAGGCCUUCGGGUUGUAAAGCUCUUUUGUCAGGGAAGAAACGGUGGUGGCGAAUAACUACUACUAAUGACGGUACCUGAAGAAUAAGCACCGGCUAACUACGUGCCAGCAGCCGCGGUAAUACGUAGGGUGCAAGCGUUAAUCGGAAUUACUGGGCGUAAAGCGUGCGCAGGCGGUUGUGUAAGUCAGAUGUGAAAUCCCCGGGCUCAACCUGGGAAUUGCAUUUGAGACUGCACGGCUAGAGUGUGUCAGAGGGGGGUAGAAUUCCACGUGUAGCAGUGAAAUGCGUAGAUAUGUGGAGGAAUACCGAUGGCGAAGGCAGCCCCCUGGGAUAACACUGACGCUCAUGCACGAAAGCGUGGGGAGCAAACAGGAUUAGAUACCCCUGUAGUCCCAUG